rnacentral:ncRNA from 18 species
AACUUAUCAAGAGCGACCGAGGGACAGGCCCGGUGACGUCGCGGCAACCUCCCCAUGGGGGGAAGGUGCCAAUUCCUGCGAGACCGACAGGUUUCGGGAGAUAAGGA